CCUCCAUUCGGGCACAUCCGAUAAAAUUGAAAAGAUACAGAGAAGAUUAGCAUGACCCCUGUAGAAGGAUGACGCACACAAAUCGAGAAACGAUCUAAUUAAUU